CCCCCCCGUAAUAUAGCAAAGAUCACGAAAAGGCCCGAAAAAGUACAUUAAGUUCAAAAUUUGGAGUAGAAAAAAAAACAAUAGAAGAAUUCCAUUUUCCUUCCUCAGUCAUCGGAGAGCUCUCUUUGGGCUUUCCGAAAAGGUAUCACAUGCCAAGUUUGGCCUCACGGUCUAAAGGUUAUAGAGUCAUACAUUUUUAACAAAAAAAAAUAGAAAAACAGAAAAAAGAGGGAUGCAAUACGAGGACUUUCCAGGAGGUCACCCAUCCUAGUACAACUCUCGCCGAAGCACGCUUAACUACGGUGUUCAGAUGGAAUCUGGUGCAUUAGUGCUGGUAUGAUGUCAUUUGUUACUACAUGCAAUGCAAUCAUAUCUAUUCUUAUUUAAAGACUUUAUGAUCCAUUUGCCGUGGGUCCCACCUGUAGGAAUACCCUAUCUUGUUUAUAAAAGAUUUGAUACAUGCAAAAUACUCGAAAACAAUGUCCGAACAUAUAAUUUUCACCCCGUAAUAUAGCAAAGAUCACGAAAAGGCCCGAAAAAGUACAUUAAAGUCAAAAUUUGGAGUAGAAAAAAACCC
rnacentral:sRNA from 1 species